UACGGAGGGUGCAAACGUUGCUCGGAAUCAUUGGGCGUAAAGCGCACGUAGGCGGCCGAUUAAGUCGGGUGUGAAAGCCCUGGGCUCAACCCAGGAAGUGCACACGAAACUGAUCGGCUUGAAUAUGGAAGAGGGUUGCGGAAUUCCCGGUGUAGAGGUGAAAUUCGUAGAUAUCAAGUGGAACACCAGUGGCGAAGGCGAGUCUCUGGACAUUUCCUGACGCUGAGACGCGAAAGCGUGGGGAGCGAACCGG
rnacentral:rRNA from 1 species